GUCAGGGGCGGCCACUUCCUCGUGCCCACCCCUUCUGACUCUAUCCAACAAAUGGGAUGAGUGUCCCUGUCCCACUGGCUGCUCUUCCCCUUUCCCCCAAUGGUUUAUUUGCUAGAAGAGUCUUUUCCUACCAACUCUGAGCUUGAUGCAGACAGACAAGACACUUACCUGCUUUCGGUUUGAAGAUGUUCAGCUCAGAUUACCUGCAUCUAAGGACCAAAAUGUAAAUGCCAGGGCCAUUCUUCCAGAGUGGAGCCAGGGCAAAAGAGGAAUUCAAGCUGGAACAAGGAGUCCGAGAAGACGCGACUGCUGGACAGAACAAGCGAUGAAGCCAGUCCCCAAACUGAUGAGCCCGCAGCUCCAUCCAAAUUAAAUGGGCUGAGAACACCAACACUCCACCCUCCCGGUACGAUUGCAUGGCAGGGAGGAACCAAAAAUAUUUUUCCUUCAUCUGCUAUCUCAGCUAAGCAGUACACUCUUUCUAGCACCUCACUAGAGUCCAGUUUUUCUGUAUUCUGUAUUCACAAUACAGGUUUAUUAUGAACUCUGAGCAGAUGAGGCUAUUUUUCCCCCUUUUGGUUUCUUAGUAACUAGGCAAAGUACAAGGCUCACGGUGGGUAUU
rnacentral:lncRNA from 1 species